rnacentral:rRNA from 1 species
GACGGGGGGGGCAAGUGUUCUUCGGAAUGACUGGGCGUAAAGGGCACGUAGGCGGUGAAUCGGGUUGAAAGUGAAAGUCGCCAAAAAGUGGCGGAAUGCUCUCGAAACCAAUUCACUUGAGUGAGACAGAGGAGAGUGGAAUUUCGUGUGUAGGGGUGAAAUCCGUAGAUCUAACGAAGGAACGCCAAAAGCGAAGGCAGCCCCCUGGGCCGACACUGACGCUCAUGCACGAAAGGCGUGGGGACAAACAGG